GACGGAGGAUGCAAGUGUUAUCCGGAAUCACUGGGCGUAAAGCGUCUGUAGGUGGUCAAAUAAGUCAACUGUUAAAUCUUGAGGCUUAACCUCAAAAUCGCAGUCGAAACUAUUAGACUAGAGUAUAGUAGGGGUAAAGGGAAUUUCCAGUGGAGCGGUGAAAUGCGUAGAGAUUGGAAAGACCACCGAUGGCGAAGGCACUCUACUGGGCCAUUACUGACACUGAGAGACGAAAGCUAGGGGAGCAAAUGGG
rnacentral:rRNA from 1 species